UUCACUUCCAAGUUUUGUUUGCCCGACCCCGCUUUUUUCCGGCGGUACGUUUUUCUGGAUUUCUCCCCGGCCUAUCCCAAGGGGAAAAUUCUCGUUCGAUGCAGUUUUCAUCGGUACACGUUUGAUAUCGAGCGAUCGUUGGCGUUAACGGUUGCCAGAAACAGCCGUGGGAUUGUUUUAUUUCUGUUUUUGGUGGCCGUAAAAAAAAGAAUUAUUGAACGUGUAUGGGUGCAUGAUCGGUGGACAAAUGGGAUGUUUAAAUAAAACAAUCGCGGCAUUCCACACCUGCCCGAUGUAUGUCACAGGUUAUAAUAUAUUCAUGGUCUAUGGAGAAGUCAGCUCGCCGGACGGACAGUGGAGACAGGGAACAUGUGUCUAACGAGCACGGCAACGGCAUUGUUUGGAAAACAACGCGCCACAACAAAACGACACAAAAUACAUAAAUAGCAGUGAAAAAUUAAGACGGGCCUUCAUUAACCGGCACAACGACGUAUUAAGUCAAAAUAUUAAUUGUUGGCGAGUCACCCGGUAUAUUGUGCGGUUGACAGCCUGAAAUGUUCGUAAUUAACGUGUGGCGAUAAUUAGCGAUGGUCUUAAAAAACGGUUAGGUAAUCCACUAAAUACAAGCAAACGUUAUUCCUAAAUUAUCGGUGAUUGAAGAUAAUUAAAGUAAAACAAGGCAUUUCUUAGAAAUCGCAAUUAAUGUAGCAUUUAAAAAUCCAACAUUUGGUUAAUGUGCGAAUAGUCAUUAGCAGAUUGUUAAUUAUGCAUGUAAAUUUGUACCUACAUAAUUUGCAUGGUUGUUAUUUGAAUAAUUACAAAUGAGGAAAAUGU